CCAGGCUCACGGUGGGAGGGUACAUGUGUGUGCGGAGGGAGGGGAAGGGCCUGCCACAAGUGUCUUACCUCUCUCUGUCUUUGGGUUCAGAGGAGAAUGUCCUCUUGGAGGAGUGCGGUUAGCCCCGGUGUUAGGAGCAGCCUACCUGUGUCAAGAGCCUUUCCAUGUGCUGCUUUGAGAGUGUUUGGAACCGGCGCCCAUUCCCUGCCUCUACAGAAAUGGAUCUCGAAUGUGCCUAGAAGGGUCUGGGGCUGAGGCCGCCACUACUCCUAGCCCCUUGAUGAUUCAGGAAUGCCUCUACUGGCUGAGCACGCCCUCCGUCCCUCACUGAUCCAGUCAGACAGGAAUUCAUCACUGAGCCACUACUCCCGACUUCCAGCUCCUAGCUCAUGUCCCUGCAGUGUAUCCAGUAAACUAAAUUUAGACCCUCGGGGACAACAGAGAAGGAGCCAUGUGGCCCAGAUCUCUGUCUUCGUGUGCGGUGGGCCAUAUGACGUGCUUGCCUUCUCCGAUCUGAAAACCUAGGCUAGAUUUGGGUCUAGUGAAACAACCUGGGGGUUGGGGAAAAGGCUACAAUCGGAAACUGCACAUUUCUGUAACAAUAACUUCAGACAAAGUAAGAUGAAGAGGUUUGAAAAAUAAAUACAAUUGCCAUGAAA
ensembl:processed_transcript 5031434O11Rik RIKEN cDNA 5031434O11 gene